AGAAGAUUUGGUUUUACUUGUGUUUGCUAAGCUAUUUGAUCAGCAGUUCGAUUCUGUUGUUUCUCUU
rnacentral:tRNA from 1 species